rnacentral:rRNA from 1 species
UGCAAGUCGAGGGGCAGCAUGGUCUUAGCUUGCUAAGGCCGAUGGCGACCGGCGCACGGGUGAGUAACACGUAUCCAACCUGCCGUCUACUCUUGGACAGCCUUCUGAAAGGAAGAUUAAUACAAGAUGGCAUCAUGAGUCCGCAUGUUCACAUGAUUAAAGGUAUUCCGGUAGACGAUGGGGAUGCGUUCCAUUAGAUAGUAGGCGGGGUAACGGCCCACCUAGUCUUCGAUGGAUAGGGGUUCUGAGAGGAAGGUCCCCCACAUUGGAACUGAGACACGGUCCAAACUCCUACGGGAGGCAGCAGUGAGGAAUAUUGGUCAAUGGGCGAGAGCCUGAACCAGCCAAGUAGCGUGAAGGAUGACUGCCCUAUGGGUUGUAAACUUCUUUUAUAAAGGAAUAAAGUCGGGUAUGGAUACCCGUUUGCAUGUACUUUAUGAAUAAGGAUCGGCUAACUCCGUGCCAGCAGCCGCGGUAAUACGGAGGAUCCGAGCGUUAUCCGGAUUUAUUGGGUUUAAAGGGAGCGUAGAUGGAUGUUUAAGUCAGUUGUGAAAGUUUGCGGCUCAACCGUAAAAUUGCAGUUGAUACUGGAUAUCUUGAGUGCAGUUGAGGCAGGCGGAAUUCGUGGUGUAGCGGUGAAAUGCUUAGAUAUCACGAAGAACUCCGAUUGCGAAGGCAGCCUGCUAAGCUG